GAUGAACGCUGGCGGCGUGCCUAAUACAUGCAAGUCGAGCGAACGGACGAGAAGCUUGCUUCUCUGAUGUUAGCGGCGGACGGGUGAGUAACACGUGGGUAACCUACCUAUAAGACUGGGAUAACUUCGGGAAACCGGAGCUAAUACCGGAUAAUAUUUUGAACCGCAUGGUUCAAAAGUGAAAGACGGUCUUGCUGUCACUUAUAGAUGGAUCCGCGCUGCAUUAGCUAGUUGGUAAGGUAACGGCUUACCAAGGCAACGAUGCAUAGCCGACCUGAGAGGGUGAUCGGCCACACUGGAACGGAGACACGGUCCAGACUCCUACGGGAGGCAGCAGUAGGGAAUCUUCCGCAAAGGGCGAAAGCCUGACGGAGCAACGCCGCGUGAGUGAUGAAGGUCUUCGGAUCGUAAAACUCUGUUAUUAGGGAAGAACAUAUGUGUAAGUAACUGUGCACAUCUUGACGGUACCUAAUCAGAAAGCCACGGCUAACUACGUG
rnacentral:rRNA from 1 species